GUGGUUGUGGAGGCUGUGGGUUGUUUGGUUAUGGAGGCUGUGGGUUGUUUGGUUGUGGAGGCUGUGGGUUGUUUGGUUGUGGAGGCUGUGGGUUGUUUGGUUGUGGAGGCUGUGGGUUGUUUGGUUGUGGAGGCUGUGGGUUGUUUGGUUGUAGAGGCUGUGGGUUGUUUGGUUGUGGAGGCUGUGGGUUGUUUGGUUGUAGAGGCUGUGGGUUGUUUGGUUGUGGAGGCUGUGGGUUGUUUGGUUGUGGAGGCUGUGGGUUGUUUGGUUGUGGAGGCUGUGGGUUGUUUGUGAGGUUGUUUGAAGGGUUCCGGGUUGUUACUCUCCUUACGUGACAUAUUGUAUCCACAGGGUCUCACACUGUUGUAUAUAGAUUGUUUUUGCUUUUGUUGUUUUAUUUUAAACCAUUUGUAUCCUU